CGGGAUGUAGCGCAGUUUGGUAGCGCAUUGCAUUUGGGAUGCAAGGGUCGCAGGUUCGAAUCCUGUCAUCCCGA
rnacentral:ncRNA from 12 species